AUGGCCAUGAAUGGAAGAACGAACACAAGGAAGCCACACAAGAAGAAAUCGAGGGAAGAGGAAAUUAAUGUACAGGAAACAGGGUAUCAAAGAUGUAAAGGCAUAAGGAUUACCUACAAAAACGAGAACCUCCCCGGUAAUGCUUCAAAAAUUCGUUCAGGUUUUGUAGGCCUAUGGAGCAGUAUUGCAGCAGCUUUGAACUAUUAUUCUUUGCUUGGUAUGAUGCAGGUUUACAGCCCUGUGGCACAGUAUUGCAGCUGCUUUGAACUGUUAUGA